rnacentral:misc_RNA from 1 species
GGGAAACCAGGUGGCCGGAUCCUUUUUCCAUUUUUCUUGCUCGCCGGUUCCUCCGUUUUAAGAUUCUUUUCAGAGCCAGUGAACUUCGAAGGGGCUCUCUGCCGCCAUUUUCCCAAUAGGGUUUGCGGUUGUAGUUGCAAAAAUCGCCAUUAGUGGCUUCUCUUAUCCUGUAAGUUUACAUUGCUGAAACCCCUUCUUUCUAAAGAAAUGUUUUCUUUCGUGUUCAAAUUACUCAUUAAUCUUAGGCGCUUCAUAGAUGCCAAAGCUUGUUACGGUCGUUAUAUUCAAACCCUAACUUCAGUAAAUUCGGCUUCAAGCUCAACGGCCCAAUCUUUAACAGUCUCUUACCUCUCCAACUCAUGUGGGUUGUCACCACAUAGGGCUGCUUCAGUCUGCAAGUAUGUUCUUAUUAAGAGCACAGAUCAGCCAGAGUUGGUUCUUCGACUGUUAAGAGCUAAUGGGUUUACUAAAUCUCAAAUUGCUACCUUAAUUUCAAAUCAACCUCAACUUAUUCUAGCCCAUCCAGAAAAAACCCUUGAACCUAAGAUUGAAUAUUUUGAAUCACUGGGUAUUGCAGGGCCUGACCUGCAUAAUAUUCUAUGUGUAAAUUCAGCUAUUCUAACGGCUAGUUUAAAGAAACGGAUUUUGCCCACUAUUGAUUUCCUUAGGGGGUUGCUUGAGACCGAUGAGAAUGUUUUUUUCGCCUUGAAGCGAGGCCCCCAUCUCCUUACCUGUGGUACUGAGGUGCUGUUGUCUAAUAUAUGCACUUUGCGAGCUCAUGGUGUGCCUGAACCCAGUAUUAGGAGGUUAGUAUUAACGUGGCCACGGUGUCUAAGCCGCAGGGUUCAUUUUUUAGAAGAAGUGGUUCGAGAAGUUAAGGAAAUGGGGUUUGAACCAACGGGAAAGUCCUUUAUAUAUGCUUUUUAUUCAAUGUCUGCUAUGAGCAACCUGAAAUGGGAAAGGAAGAAAAAGGUCUUGAUGAGCUUUGGCUGGUCAGAAAGAGAUAUUAUUAUGGCAUUUAGAGCACAACCACUAUUCAUGACUGCCUCUGAGAAGAAGAUUAAGCAACUAAUGGAGUUUUAUCUGACCAAAGCUUGUUUACAGCUUCCAGAUCUCGUUGGAUGCCCACAUCUAUUUAAGAUCAGUUUGGAGAGAAAUGCCAUGCCAAGAUGCUCUGUUUUGGAUGUGCUAAUGUCGAAGGGCUUGAUUAAAAAGGAUGUAAAUGUUGUUUCAGCACUAAAAAUGUCUAGAAAACAGUUUGAGAACAAGUUUUUGGCUUAUUACAAGGAGGAUUACCCUGAGUUGGUCCAAGCAUACAAGGUUGAGACAUUUCAAGGAUUUGGUAACAAAAUGUGAUAGGUGUUUUGAUGAAGGAACCUUUUCAUACAACAAAUGCAGAAGCAACCGCUACUAUAGGUUUGCAGUAUAUUUAGCAGUUAGGCAAUGGUCAGAGCCCUAAAUGCAUCUCAGUUACAAAGUCAACUACUUGCUUAGAUCAGACUGACUUACCAUGUUAAGUUCUUAAACUUGUUCUAACCCCUCCAGCAAAGUAAGUGUUUAUCACUAACAAAACUUAUGCUGGCGUGUAUUUUCUGAUGGUUGAUUCAAGGUAAUUUUAUAUGAAUCUGAACAAACUUUUGACUCGUAUAAAUCGAUUGGGUGAGCAUCAUAUUAAUUUUAUGCUAAAAUUUUUUGUGGUGAACUAGUUAUCUCAUCUCGGCAUCUUGGGCACAUGAAGAAUCUGAAACUCACUGCAGAAACUUUUGGCUGAACUAGGCUUUACAUGUUGUUUGUCCUUUGACGUUCAUAGUAAUUUGAGAGAAUGUGGUUUCUAGGCAUCCAUGUUUAACAUGCUUGUGUUGCCUUUGCAUUUCUCUAUGAUGUAAACUCUCUCUUCAAAUAAGUUGGAACACAAAAGAUCUACUUAAGCAAAGGAAACAAAUUCAUAGCUUUGACUUCCAAUUUUAGAAAGCUUACUAGGGUAACUAUGAUAUUGCUCCUAAUGUCAUUAAUUCAUUCCCAAGGCUGAUCUUUCAGCUGUUUCAUCUAAGUAAUGAACUGCAAUUUUUUAAAGUUCAAGACAUACAUUUAAGUGCAGGUUUCAUAUCAUGGGAGAAUUUUUGGAGCACAUUAAUUGGUGAUCCACGGAUCAGAGAUACUACUUAAUUUGAUGUGUUUUCUUGGCAUCCAUGUUUGAUAUGCUUGUGUUUCCUUUGCAUUUCUGUAUGCCAGAUUGAAAUUCUUUGAUAUCUCUGUCUGUGAAUUGAUAUGUGCCCUUUCUCUUCUUAUUAUCGUUUGUUUUGUAGUUUCUGUCCCCCUGUUUCAUAUAGCUGAUAGUUCUUUGCCUCUAGGAGGAUUUUAUUGGAAAAUUAGAUAGUAUAGGCUAGUUUAUGAAGUUUCACAAAGCUAAUGAUGGAUUCAUUGUCCAUCGAGUGUUACUUUCCCCAAUGGAUAUCACCAGAACAAAAUGACUGUUAAUUUGGUUUGCUUGGAAGAAUUUUAUCUGCAAAUUUUGGUUUGAUUUAAUUAAUUAUCUAUUUUGUAAAUGAAAUCAUAGUUGAAUUCAUCAAAGAGAUUGUUUUUUG